GUAGGUGGCAAGCGUUGUCCGGGAAUUAUUGGGGCGUAAAGCGCGCGCAGGCGGUGCUUUAAGUCUGAUGUGAAAGCCCACGGGCUCAACCGUGGAGGGUCAUUGGAAACUGGAGAACUUGAGUACAGAAGAGGAAAGCGGAAUUCCACGUGUAGCGGUGAAAUGCGUAGAGAUGUGGAGGAACACCAGUGGCGAAGGCGGCUUUCUGGUCUGUAACUGACGCUGAGGCGCGAAAGCGUGGGGAGCAAACAGGAUUAGAUACCCUGGUAGUCCACGCCGUAAACGAUGAGUGCUAAGUGUUAGGGGGUUUCCGCCCCUUAGUGCUGCAGCUAACGCAUUAAGCACUCCGCCUGGGGAGUACGGCCGCAAGGCUG
rnacentral:rRNA from 1 species